UCCCUGUUGGCUCAGAUGGUAAAGCAUCUGCCUACAAUGCAGGAGAACCAGGUUUAAUCCCUGGGUCAGGAA
rnacentral:tRNA from 1 species